rnacentral:rRNA from 1 species
GCGAUUCCCUGAGUAGCGGCGAGCGAAACGGGAUUAGCCCAAACCAAGAGGCUUGCCUCUUGGGGUUGUAGGACACUCUACACGGAGUUACAAAGGAACGAGGUAAAUGAACAGGUCUGGAAAGGCCGGCCAGAGAAGGUAAAAGCCCUGUAGUUGAAACUUCGUUCCCUCCAGAGUGGAUCCUGAGUACGGCGGGACACGAGAAAUCCCGUCGGAAGCAGGGAGGACCAUCUCCCAAGGCUAAAUACUCCCUAGUGACCGAUAGUGAACCAGUACCGUGAGGGAAAGGUGAAAAGCACCCCGGAAGGGGAGUGAAAGAGAUCCUGAAACCGUGUGCCUACAAGUAGUUAGAGCCCGUUAAUGGGUGAUAGCGUGCCUUUUGUAGAAUGAACCGGCGAGUUACGAUUACAUGCAAGGUUAAGUUGAAUAGACGGAGCCGCAGCGAAAGCGAGUCUGAAUAGGGCGAAUGAGUAUGUGGUCGUAGACCCGAAACCAGGUGAUCUACCCAUGUCCAGGUUGAAGUUCAGGUAACACUGAAUGGAGGACCGAACCCACGCACGUUGAAAAGUGCGGGGAUGAGGUGUGGGUAGCGGAGAAAUUCCAAUCGAACUUGGAGAUAGCUGGUUCUCUCCGAAAUAGCUUUAGGGCUAGCCUCAUGUAGAAAGAGUCUUGGAGGUAGAGCACUGUUUGGACUAGGGGCCCCCAUCGGGUUACCGAAUUCAGACAAACUCCGAAUGCCAAAGACUUAUCCAUGGGAGUCAGACUGCGAGUGAUAAGAUCCGUAGUCAAGAGGGAAACAGCCCAGACCACCAGCUAAGGUCCCAAAGUAUACGUUAAGUGGAAAAGGAUGUGGAGUUGCUUAGACAACCAGGAUGUUGGCUUAGAAGCAGCCACCAUUUAAAGAGUGCGUAAUAGCUCACUGGUCGAGUGACUCUGCGCCGAAAAUGUACCGGGGCUAAACGUAUCACCGAAGCUGUGGAUGGACAUCU